UACGUAGGUGGCAAGCGUUGUUCGGAAUUAUUGGGCGUAAAGGGCGCGUAGGCGGCAUGUUAAGUCGGCUGUGAAAGCCUGGGGCUCAACCCCAGAGGGUCGGCCGAUACUGGCAAGCUAGAGUACGGAAGAGGUAGCUGGAAUUCCUGGUGUAGCGGUGAAAUGCGCAGAUAUCAGGAGGAACACCGAUGGCGAAGGCAGGUCUCUGGGCCACUACUGACGCUGAGAAGCGAAAGCAUGGGGAGCGAACAGG
rnacentral:rRNA from 1 species